UACGAAGGGGGCAAGCGUUGUUCGGAAUUACUGGGCGUAAAGGGCGCGUAGGCGGCUUAUCAAGUCAGGCGUGAAAUUCCCGGGCUCAACCUGGGGGCUGCGCUUGAUACUGAUGAGCUUGAAUGCGGGAGAGGAUAGUGGAAUUCCCAGUGUAGAGGUGAAAUUCGUAGAUAUUGGGAGGAACACCAGUGGCGAAGGCGGCUCACUGGACCGGAACUGACGCUGAUGCGCGAAAGCGUGGGGAGCAAACGGG
rnacentral:rRNA from 1 species